rnacentral:lncRNA from 1 species
UGGCUCCCCGUGGCCAAGGACGGGGCUGCGAGCUCCUCGGGAGACCUGCCCGCCCGCAUCUUGAUGUGUGUCCUGAGCGUCUCAGAUUUCAUUUUGAUAAACAACACUCUGUGAUGGUUGUGUUAGAAGCGUUCUGAGUGGUGACCUCUAACCUUUGCAUCUGAGUCUUCACCUCUUCCGCACUCGUGAGUGACGGGCCGUCAAGGCACACGCUGCAGGCUCUCCUCCUCGCACCUCUGCUUCCUGGUGCCCGCGGCCCUCGUGUCUUUCGAGUUCGUUGGUCUCUUCCUCUGGUGCUGCUGAGGUUCUCUGUGUCCUCCACUCGACAGUGCGGAAACAGCCAUGUCUGCCUCAGUCCACUCACGUGAGCAGCCACACGGGACCCUCAGCCACCCGUUAACCGUGCGGAUCUAACGUGGCCUCAGUAUUGAUCCGCCCCGUUGGUUUGGUUUCAUCUUGCAGGACAGGCUCCUGUGACAAGCUCUCUAAGGAGUUUGGACUCUUGCUUCUGUCACAGCCACAGAGCCUCGGGUCGCCUCCCACGACGUCAUUCCAGGCAGUAAUGGAGUCGCUGACGGGGCAAGGCGAGGACAGUGUGGGCCCCAACAGCUCCUUUCCUCCAGUGCAGCAGCUUGGCGGGCUGGCUGCUCAGCCCGCAUCUGCACCAUCGCCCUGAAGCUCAGAAGGUCCUGGGGACUCGGGCGGGUGCUUCGCCGAAGUGCUGAUUCUGCGUCUGCAGAAGGGCCGUCCCAGGCCCCCUGGAGCCGGUGCACGCCUGUCAGAUGCAGUGACUCGUUCAGUCCUGGGUUAACUGGAUCACAGCACGGUCCUGCCCAGUGGAGCCUCACUCUGGGGGACCAGGCGCCAAAAGGAUGCCUGCAGGAUCCCGAGACUUCUCAGCGCAACGAGACGGGGCCAGGGUGCUGCUCCCAGACAGGUAUGUGGGCUCCCAACGUUCCAGAGGAAGCAAGGACGUCAGGAGCCAGGAGAACAGCUGAGACGAGCCAAUUCUCCAAAGAGGUCAGGCGUCUGAGUGGGCUCAGCCACGGCUUCUGUUCCUGGUCACCCGGGGCUGAAGGCACAGUGUUGGCUGGGCAGCUCUCACCUGGAGCUCGGGGGAGACUCUGCUUCAGACUCCUUCAGGCCCUCAGCAGAAUCCAGAUCCUCAUGGUUGUAGGACUGAGGUCUCCAUUUCCACUGGCUGUCGGCAAGGCCCAUCCCUAUCUCCCAGAGGCCCCUCCCUGUGACCCCUGGGCCUCAGAACAUGGUCGGGCAGUCGUGCGGCUCUGCUUUCUCUCUGC